rnacentral:tRNA from 1 species
AUUUAAAUAGCUUAUUUUGAGAGCAUAAUAUUGAAGAUAUUAAGGUAACAUUAAAUGUUUUUAAGUA